rnacentral:rRNA from 1 species
AGUGAACGCUGGCGGCGUGGAUAAGGCAUGCAAGUCGAGCGAUACUCGCAAGGGUAUAGCGGCAAACGGGUGAGUAACACGUAGAUAACCUACCCCUAAGCGCGGGAUAGUCCGGCGAAGGUCGGAGUAAUACCGCAUGUGAUUCCGAAGUGGCAUCACUUUGGAAAGAAAGAUGGCCUAGACCGCAAGGUUGCUAUCACUUUAGGAGGGAUCUGCGUCCCANCAGCUAGUUGGUAGGGUAACGGCCUACCAAGGCUAUUACGGGUAGCUAGCCUUAGAGGGCGGUUAGCCACACUGGGACUGAGACACUGCCCAGACUCCUACGGGAGGCUGCAGUCGAGAAUCUUUGGCAAUGGACGCAAGUCUGACCAUGCGACGCC